GAUUAACGCUGGCGGCGUGCAUAACACAUGCAAGUCGAACGAUGAAACUUAAAUGAUUUCUUCGGAAUGAACUUAAGUGGAUUAGUGGCGGACGGGUGAGUAACGCGUGAGUAACCUGCCUUACACAAGGGGAUAGCCGUUGGAAACGACGAAUAAUACCCUAUGAAACUAUCACUUCGCAUGAAGCGAUAGUCAAAGUGUUAGCGGUGUAAGAUGGACUUGCGUCUGAUUAGCUAGUUGGUGAGAAAAAAGCCCACCAAGGCAACGAUCAGUAGCCGGCAUGAGAGAGUGGACGGCCACAUUGGGACUGGGACACGGCCCAGACUCCUACGGGAGGCAGCAGUGGGGAAUUUAGCACAAUGGGGGAAACCCAGAUGCAGCGACGCCGCGUGAUUUAGAAGGCCUUCGGGUUGUAAAAAUCUUUUGUAUAGGAAGAGAAUGACAGUACUAUACGGAUAAGGUCCGGCUAAUUACGUG
rnacentral:rRNA from 1 species